CAGAGCCCAGAUACCCAGCAAAGGACUACUUGUGAGGAAGCUGGCCACAGUCAGAGGUGCAGACUGCUUGAGGACUCAAAGGGCAUUUGCUCUCUCCCAUUCUGGGCAGGCAGCAGGCUCUCCUGAAAGUUCCAGAACUCUGACCUUGCCAGCUGCUUCCUGUCCACAUUGAGGAAAGUGGAUUAAUGCCCCUGUUGCAGAGUGUUGGUGGGCCUGGGCCUUCUGAGAAGGAUCACUUGCACACUGCACAGAACCCCUUUUGUUGAUGGAGUAGGAGCCCCUCAUCAAUCCUCAGUUCUGUGGGGACGGGUCCCUACCCCUAACAUCCUGACACCCAGCCUCUUUCCUCC